UGGCGGACGGGUGAGUAAUGUCUGGGAAACUGCCUGAUGGAGGGGGAUAACUACUGGAAACGGUAGCUAAUACCGCAUAACGUCGCAAGACCAAAGAGGGGGACCUUCGGGCCUCUUGCCAUCGGAUGUGCCCAGAUGGGAUUAGCUAGUAGGUGGGGUAACGGCUCACCUAGGCGACGAUCCCUAGCUGGUCUGAGAGGAUGACCAGCCACACUGGAACUGAGACACGGUCCAGACUCCUACUGGAGGCAGCAUG
rnacentral:rRNA from 1 species